rnacentral:rRNA from 1 species
UUGGUGAGGUAAUGGCUCACCAAGGCGACGACGGGUAGCCGGCCUGAGAGGGCGACCGGCCACACUGGGACUGAGACACGGCCCAGACUCCUACGGGAGGCAGCAGUGGGGAAUAUUGCACAAUGGGCGAAAGCCUGAUGCAGCGACGCCGCGUGAGGGAUGACGGCCUUCGGGUUGU